GAAGAGGGCCAAAACAAAAAAAAAAAAAUAACGUAUAUAUAAUUAAAAAAAAACAAUAGUAAAAUUAGCUGCGUAUGACACGACGUACGAAUACUUUUUCGAAACCGUAAAGCUACUGCUAGUAGUAGUAGUUGAGGGGCUGUUGUUUGAUACUUACGCGACAAUCGCAGGCUUGCAUCGAUCACCGGUCGAUAAAGUUGCGAGAGCCUCAAAGCCGGGUGGUAGUAGUAUUAGUUAUUAGUGAUUUGUACCGACACACACGAGGGAAGAAGUAGUGUGGUGUUACUUUUGCUACAUUAAACACAAAUUAGUUACACAAGCUACGUACACUACGCCAAAGACUAUUGACUAAGAUAA